UGGGGUGUAGCCAAGUGGUUAAGGCAACGGGUUUUGAUCCCGUCAUGCGCAGGUUCGAAUCCUGCCACCCCAGCCA
rnacentral:tRNA from 1 species